ACAUGCAAGUCGAGUGCGCGUCCGUAGCAAUACGGAUGGCGCACGGCGCACGGGUGCGUAACACGUGGGCAAUCUGCCCUCCGAUGGGGAAUAACUCCGGGAAACCGAAGCUAAUUCCGCAUAACAUUCCUUGGACUCCGGUUCGGGGAUUCAAAGCAGCAAUGCGUCGGAGGAGGAGCCCGCGCCCGAUUAGCUAGUUGGUGAGGUAACGGCUCACCAAGGCUAUGAUCGGUAGCUGGUCUGAGAGGAUGGCCAGCCACACUGGAACUGAGACACGGUCCAGACUCCUACGGGAGGCAGCAGUGGGGAAUCUUGCGCAAUGGGCGAAAGCCUGACGCAGCGACGCCGCGUGGGGGAUGAAGCUUCUCGGAGUGUAAACCCCUUUCGACCGGGACGAAUGCCCGCAAGGGAGUGACGGUACCGGUAGAAGAAGCCCCGGCUAACUACGUGCCAGCAGCCGCGGUAAGACGUAGGGGGCCAGCGUUGUUCGGAAUUACUGGGUGUAAAGGG
rnacentral:rRNA from 1 species